AUAACAAUACAGGACUCUUUCAAGGCCCUGUAAUUGGAAUGAGUACACUUUAAAUCCUUUAACGAGUAUCUAUUGGAGGGCAAGUCUGGUGCAGAGCGACUGACCCGUGCGUGCUGCAGCUGAAACUCCACUAUAA